GGUUCGGAAUAACUCUCCGAAAUGCGUGCUAAUACCUGAUAAUGACGUAAGUCCUGACUUUAUCGCCCAUGGAUGAGCCCGCAUAGGAUUAUUUUGUUGGUGAGGUAAAACCUCACCUAGGCGACUAUCCUUAACUGGUCGGAUAGGAUGAUCAGCCACACUGGGACUGACACACGGCCCGAACUCCUACGGGAGGCACUGAUGGGGAAUAUUGGACAAUGGGCGAAAGCCUGAUCCAGAAUUGCCGCGUGAGUGAUGAAGGCCUUAGGGUUGUAAAGCUCUUUUACCCGGGAUGAUAAUGACUGUACCGGGAGAAUAAGCUCCGGCUAACUCCGUGCCAGCACCCGCGGAAAUACCGACGGAGCUAUCCUUAUUCGCAAUUACUGGGCGUAAAGCGCACGUAGGCGGCUUUGUAAUUUAUAGGUGAAAGCCCGGAGCUCAACUCCUGAACUGCCUUUAAUACUGCAUCGCUUGUCUCCUCGAGAGGUGAGUGGAAUUCCGAGUGACUAGGUGAAAUUCGUAGAUAUUCGAAAUAACGCCGUUGCCGAAAGCUGCUCACAGGACUGGUAUUGACGCUGAGGU
rnacentral:rRNA from 1 species